rnacentral:snoRNA from 1 species
AUUAACUGUGAUGAGUUUCUACAAAUCUGUGAUGAUUUGCGGAUAUGAUCGCAGAUCUUAAGAACAUCUAAGGGACUAAAAGGGU